UAUUAUAUGGAGUUUGAUGAUGAAGUAGCAAUAGGAUAAUUAUGAAUAGAUGUGGAUUUUAGCAUAGUGAAUGGACUGAACUCGGUUUUACGUUUGUAAUGUGUAUGGUUUGUUUUGUAGGUUUUGGAGUUUAAUGUUGCAGGGUUAGUUUGGUUGUAUGGGAAGGCUGGCAGUUAAUGGAACUGUUUUUUGAACAAGAGUAUGGUGCUGCAGUACAGGUGAUGCAUUGUAUGGUGUUUAAUGUGUGGUGCAGAGUGAUGUGAAGCUGUGUAAUUGCAUAUGUAGGUUUUCUCAUGAUGGAGCAACUGUCACAGUGAAAUUGGACACAAGUCAAGGCUUAAUCAAGGAGGGUCAUGAUGAUGGGGGCAAGGUUGAGACUGCCUCGGAUGGGAUGAGGCUAGGGUGCAAAAAGUCGACAGUGGACUAAAAGUCAACUUAGGCCAAUAUGUGUGAUUUUGUAGCUUUUUGAAUGUAAUGUGUAAUGAUGAAAUUGGAUUUUAUAAUGAACAUGAAUAUUUGACAAUGGAAUUUUGUAGUUGACUUGCAA